GAGCUGAGGCAGCCAUAUUUAAUCAACACUGAAGUCUCCCCCUGGGUGAUGUUCGUGCCCUUCUGUAAUAUUUUAUUCUAAGUCAUUUCCCAGACAGCAUUAUUGAUUCGUGUCAUUAUUCUCCCCCAAGCUCCGGGAGCUUGUGCAAUGUGAUACCAACUGCAGAUCUCUUCGUGAACAUAACCUCAGAACUGAAAAGUAAGGUGACUGCUGGCCACAUUCAGUCUUACCCAGAUGGAUAUUACCCAGUGUACGGACAAGCGGAAGAUGACGGUUGCCAGACUGACCCAUUUCUUAGAUGGAGGGACACAGAAACGUAUUGUCUCACGGUUCUGGAAGCUGGAAGUCCAAGACCCUGGUGGCAGCAGGCUUGCUUCUUGCUAAGGGUCCAGUUGAGAGGAGCAGCUGGAUUGGAGAAGCCAAGCUGAUACCUUGUGAUUGCGGCACAUUGGAAGAAAGACCGAACUUUUAUGAAAUAGAUGUGAUUAUUGCUUAAUGUUUUCAGUACAAUCCAAAAUCAUGAUGAUACCUGAUGUUUAUUCUUUGGAUCACCCCACCCUAAUUCUGGACUAGAAGCUCCAAUAUGGACAGUUACUCUUGCAGAGAUCACCAGCAGCUAUUGCAACUGUGCCUGGCAUGAACAAUUGUUCAGGAAGUAUUUGUUAACUAGCUUACAACUACUUUAACCUAUAUGUCUGAAUUAAAUCUUAAAUGUUGGUAUCUUCAUUGUUAGUGUAUAAGAAAGCCACUGAUUUCUGCACAUUGAC